rnacentral:rRNA from 1 species
UACGGAGGGUGCAAGCGUUAAUCGGAAUUACUGGGCGUAAAGCGCGCGUAGGCGGUUUGAUAAGUCGGAUGUGAAAUCCCCGGGCUCAACCUGGGAAUUGCAUUCGAUACUGUCAGGCUAGAGUGUGGUAGAGGGAAGUGGAAUUUCCGGUGUAGCGGUGAAAUGCGUAGAUAUCUGAAGGAACACCAGUGGCGAAGGCGGCUUCCUGGACCAACACUGACGCUCAGGUGCGAAAGCGUGGGGAGCAAACAGGAUUAGAAACCCCAGUAGUCC